GUUGAAACACCAGUUCCUGUAUGAUCACUGAAGUUAAGCAACGUUGAGCUUGAUCAGUACCCAGAAGGGUGACCUCAUGGGAAUACCAAGUGCUGUAAG